GAUGAACGCUGGCGGCGUGCCUAAUACAUGCAAGUCGAGCGAAUGGAUUAGGAGCUUGCUCUUAUGAAGUUAGCGGCGGACGGGUGAGUAACACGUGGGUAACCUGCCCAUAAGACUGGGAUAACUCCGGGAAACCGGGGCUAAUACCGGAUAACAUUUUGAACCGCAUGGUUCGAAAUUGAAAGGCGGCUUCGGCUGUCACUUAUGGAUGGACCCGCGUCGCAUUAGCUAGUUGGUGAGGUAACGGCCCACCAAGGCAACGAUGCGUAGCCGACCUGAGAGGGUGAUCGGCCACACUGGGACUGAGACACGGCCCAGACUCCUACGGGAGGCAGCAGUAGGGAAUCUUCCGCAAUGGACGAAAGUCUGACGGAGCAACGCCGCGUGAGUGAUGAAGGCUUUCGGGUCGUAAAACUCUGUUGUUAGGGAAGAACAAGUGCUAGUUGAAUAAGCUGGUACCUUGACGGUACCUAACCAGAAAGCCACGGCUAACUACGUGCCAGCAGCCGCGGUAA
rnacentral:rRNA from 1 species